rnacentral:rRNA from 1 species
UACGAAGGGGGCGAGCGUUGUUCGGAUUUACUGGGCGUAAAGGGCGCGUAGGCGGCCUUGUCAGUCAGGCGUGAAAGCCCGGGGCUCAACCCCGGGAGGCGGGUGGAUACUGUCAAGCUCGAGUCCGGAAGAGGAGUGUGGAAUUCCUGGUGUAGCGGUGAAAUGCGCAGAUAUCAGGAGGAACACCAAUGGCGAAGGCAGCACUCUGGGACGUGACUGACGCUGAGACGCGAAAGCGUGGGGAGCAAACAGG